UACGUAGGGGGCGAGCGUUGUCCGGAGUUACUGGGCGUAAAGCGCACGCAGGCGGUCUGCUAAGUUUGGAGUGACAGUUGGUGGCUUAACUGCCAAAGUGCUUCGAAAACUGACAGACUUGAGGGCUUCAGAGGGACACGGAAUUCCGGGUGGAGUGGUGAAAUGCGUAGAGAUCCGGAAGAACACCAAAGGCGAAGGCAGCAUCCUGGGAAGCACCUGACGCUCAGAUGCGAAAGCCAGGGGAGCGAACGGG
rnacentral:rRNA from 1 species